GUAGGCUGCAACUCGCCUACAUGAAGUUGGAAUCGCUAGUAAUCGCGAAUCAGAAUGUCGCGGUGAAUACGUUCCCGGGUCUUGUACACACCGCCCGUCACACCACGAGAGUUUACAACACCCGAAGUCAGUGGCCUAACCGUAAGGAGGGAGCUGCCUAAGGUGGGGUAGAUGAUUGGGGUGAAGUCGUAACAAGGUAGC
rnacentral:rRNA from 1 species